GUAAGACGACUGGCUCUCUCUCCCUCCUAUCUUUGUUUUAUUCACUUCAUCUCCUUGAAUAUCUGAAAAGUAUUUUUUUCUGAAUAUUGUGUUUUCUAUUAUUGUGUCCAUGAAGAACAGAGCAAAGGUUAACAAAGCAAACAGGAUCGUCUUUAGCACAGUACACCAGAGGAACUGGCACAUCCUCACCCCUGCCCCGGCACAUCCUCACCCCUGCUCCGGCACAUCCUCACCCCUGUUGCGGCACAUCCUUACCCCUGUUCCGGCACAUCCUUACCCCUGCUCCGGCACCAGCUCCCGGGCCCAGGGCUGAUAGUUACAGCUGUUCCAACCUGGAGAUCUGUUGUUGAGAUGAUUUGCUUCCCGACUGCUCGGAGGCUGCUCUUAUGAAUUAAAGCCAUUUGUAGCGUCAUGCGACUUAACAUAUUUAAAGUGCACCAAAUUAGUAACAUGCAAAGUCCAUCAUUGAGAAAGGGAACGACGAGAAGGAAUAUCCGUCUGAUAUUCGCUGCUAGGUGGAAAUAACAGACCGCUGACUGCCGUAAUCUACCAAACUAAAUUGAGUUUUAAACAAAGUUGCCCGAAUAAGACAGCAUCAGCCUGUUUCCACCAGGAGAAGUGUUGAUAUUAAACUAAUCGAUGAGACAUAGAAAGAUUGUCUAAAUAAAUAUAAUUUGCCUAAAUUAAUGACAUAUCUUCAUAACUUUCUAAUAACCUUCAAAUACGCUUAUAAAUUACAGAAUAUAUUAAGGUUGAUAUAUCGUCGAGCAUCAGCCAAGCCAACAGUGUCUAACGGAAAUACGUGAUACUGUCACGUCAUUUAAUCUAUUCAUUCGUGAUCUGGGACACGUAAUUUAUUUUAUUUCGUGCCAAAAAGCACAAAUUUCUAACAAUAUGACAGCUUUUGGCCACCCGUUUCUACUUUCACCUUUGAUUCUGAGAAAUUGUGACAAUUGACAGAUAUAUUUAAUGCAGGUGCGCUGCUCUGUAGGCAAACCACGACUGAAAAAUUGGUAGCUGCUUCAUCUCUUCUUUUUAGAAUGAGUUUGAAAUUUGUGCUUUUUGGCACGAAAUUUUUGGAAUUAAGUGUCCCAGAUCACGAAAGAAUGGAUUAAAUGACGUGACGUGACAGUGUCACGUAUUUCCGUGAGACUGGGUUGGUCCAGCAGACAUGAAGGAGAACAGAAUGAUUAUUCAGUCUGCAGUGUAUAACUAACCCAGAGGUUCAAUUCUUCAGUUAUUAAAAUGUAAUAACAACUUAAUAACAAGCUUUGCAG
ensembl:lncRNA